rnacentral:rRNA from 1 species
GACGAACGCUGGCGGCGUGCCUAAUACAUGCAAGUAGAACGCUGAGGUUUGGUGUUUACACUAGACUGAUGAGUUGCGAACGGGUGAGUAACGCGUAGGUAACCUGCCUCAUAGCGGGGGAUAACUAUUGGAAACGAUAGCUAAUACCGCAUAAGAGUAAUUAACACAUGUUAGUUAUUUAAAAGGAGCAAUUGCUUCACUGUGAGAUGGACCUGCGUUGUAUUAGCUAGUUGGUGAGGUAAAGGCUCACCAAGGCGACGAUACAUAGCCGACCUGAGAGGGUGAUCGGCCACACUGGGACUGAGACACGGCCCAGACUCCUACGGGAGGCAGCAGUAGGGAAUCUUCGGCAAUGGACGGAAGUCUGACCGAGCAACGCCGCGUGAGUGAAGAAGGUUUUCGGAUCGUAAAGCUCUGUUGUUAGAGUAGAACGUUGGUAGGAGUGGAAAAUCUACCCAAGUGACGGUAACUAACCAGAAAGGGACGGCUAACUACGUGCCAGCAGCCGCGGUAAUACGUAGGUCCCCGAGCGUUGUCCGGAUUUAUUGGGCGUAAAGCGAGCGCAGCGGUUCUUUAAGUCUGAAGUUAAAGGCAGUGGCUUAACCAUUGUACGCUUUGGAAACUGGAGGACUUGAGUGCAGAAGGGAGAGUGGAAUUCCAUGUGUAGCGGUGAAAUGCGUAGAUAUAUGGAGGAACACCGGUGGCGAAAGCGGCUCUCUGGUCUGUAACUGACGUCUGAGGCUCGAAAGUGUGGGAGCAAACAG